rnacentral:rRNA from 1 species
AUUGAACGCUGGCGGCAUGCCUUACACAUGCAAGUCGAACGGCAGCACGGGAGCAAUCCUGGUGGCGAGUGGCGAACGGGUGAGUAAUACAUCGGAACGUGCCCAAUCGUGGGGGAUAACGCAGCGAAAGCUGUGCUAAUACCGCAUACGAUCUACGGAUGAAAGCAGGGGAUCGCAAGACCUUGCGCGAAUGGAGCGGCCGAUGGCAGAUUAGGUAGUUGGUGAGGUAAAGGCUCACCAAGCCGUCGAUCUGUAGCUGGUCUGAGAGGACGACCAGCCACACUGGGACUGAGACACGGCCCAGACUCCUACGGGAGGCAGCAGUGGGGAAUUUUGGACAAUGGGCGAAAGCCUGAUCCAGCCAUGCCGCGUGCAGGAUGAAGGCCUUCGGGUUGUAAACUGCUUUUAUACGGAACGAAACGGCCUUUUCUAAUAAAGAGGGCUAAUGACGGUACCGUAAGAAUAAGCACCGGCUAACUACGUGCCAGCAGCCGCGGUAAUACGUAGGGUGCAAGCGUUAAUCGGAAUUACUGGGCGUAAAGCGUGCGCAGGCGGUUAUGUAAGACAGUUGUGAAAUCCCCGGGCUCAACCUGGGGAACUGCAUUUGUGACUGCAUAGCUAGAGUACGGUAG